CAGCAGCCGCGGGAAUACGUAGGUGGCAAGCGUUGUCCGGAAUUAUUGGGCGUAAAGGGCUCGCAGGCGGUUUCUUAAGUCUGAUGUGAAAGCCCCCGGCUCAACCGGGGAGGGUCAUUGGAAACUGGGAAACUUGAGUGCAGAAGAGGAGAGUGGAAUUCCACGUGUAGCGGUGAAAUGCGUAGAGAUGUGGAGGAACACCAGUGGCGAAGGCGACUCUCUGGUCUGUAACUGACGCUGAGGAGCGAAAGCGUGGUGAGCGAGCAGGAUUAGAUACCCCGGUAGUCCCUGUCUCUUAUAC
rnacentral:rRNA from 1 species